rnacentral:rRNA from 1 species
CAGCCGCCGCGGGAAUACGAAGGGGGCUAGCGUUGCUCGGAAUGACUGGGCGUAAAGGGCGCGUAGGCGGCGGCCAAAGUCAGGCGUGAAAUUCCCGGGCUCAACCUGGGGGCUGCGUUUGAUACGUGCUUGCUAGAGUGGGGAAGAGGGUCGUGGAAUUCCCAGUGUAGAGGUGAAAUUCGUAGAUAUUGGGAAGAACACCGGUGGCGAAGGCGGCGACCUGGUCCUUUACUGACGCUGAGGCGCGAAAGCGUGGGGACCAAACAGGAUUAGAUACCCCAGUAGUCCCUGUCUCUUAUAC